CCUACGGGAGGCAGCAGUGGGGAAUAUUGCACAAUGGGCGCAAGCCUGAUGCAGCGACGCCGCGUGAGGGAUGACGGCCUUCGGGUUGUAAACCUCUUUCAGUAGGGAAGAAGCGUAAGUGACGGUACCUGCAGAAGAAGCGCCGGCUAACUACGUGCCAGCAGCCGCGGUAAUACGUAGGGCGCAAGCGUUACCGGAAUUAUUGGGCGUAAAGAGCUCGUAGGCGGUUUGUCGCGUCUGCUGUGAAAGACCGGGGCUCAACUCCGGUUCUGCAGUGGGUACGGGCAGACUAGAGUGCAGUAGGGGAGACUGGAAUUCCUGGUGUAGCGGUGAAAUGCGCAGAUACAGGAGGAACACCGAUGGCGAAGGCAGGUCUCUGGGCUGUAACUGACGCUGAGGAGCGAAAGCAGGGGAGCGAACAGAUUAGAUACCCUGGUAGUCCAUGCCGUAAACGUUGGGCACUAGUGUGGGGGCCAUCCACGUUUUCCGCGCCGUACCUAAGCUUCAAUGCCCCACCGGGCCCUCGGGGACACCAGGCCGCUC
rnacentral:rRNA from 1 species